UCGGAUAUGGUGUAGUGGUAACACGUCUCUAGAUGGUUCCGAAGGGCAACAAAAAUUUACACAGGGAUGUCCGGAGUUCGAUUCUCCGUAUCUGUU